rnacentral:rRNA from 1 species
UUGGAGGGCAAGUCUGGUGCCAGCAGCCGCGGUAAUUCCAGCUCCAAUAGCGUAUAUUAAAGUUGUUGCAGUUAAAAAGCUCGUAGUUGAAUUUCGGGAUCAAUAUUUCGGUCAUGCCGUUGGUAUGCACUGUUAUCAUUGAUUUCUCACCUUCUAAAGAACCGUAAUGCCAUUAAUUUGGUGUUUCGGGGAAUUAGGACUGUUACCUUGAAAAAAUUAGAGUGUUUAAAGCAGGCUCACGCUUGAAUACAUUAGCAUGGAAUAAUGAAAUAGGACAUCCGAUUCUAUUUUGUUGGUUUCUAGGAUCGAUGUAAUGAUUAAUAGGGAUAGUUGGGGGCAUUAGUAUUCAAUUGUCAGAGGUGAAAUUCUUGGAUUUAUUGAAGACUAACUACUGCGAAAGCAUUUGCCAAGGAUGUUUUCAUUAAUCAAGAACGAAAGUUAGGGGAUCGAAGACGAUCAGAUACCGUCGUAGUCUUAACCAUAAACUAUGCCGACUAGGGAUCGGAUGAUGUUAAUUUUUUAAUGACUCAUUCGGCGCCUUACGGGAAAC